UGCAAGUCGAACGGUGAAGCCCAGCUUGCUGGGCGGAUCAGUGGCGAACGGGUGAGUAACACGUGAGCAACCUGCCCCUCACUUCGGGAUAAGCCUUGGAAACGAGGUCUAAUACCGGAUACGAGCACUUACCGCAUGGUGGGUGUUGGAAAGUUUUUCGGUGGGGGAUGGGCUCGCGGCCUAUCAGCUUGUUGGUGGGGUAAUGGCCUACCAAGGCGUCGACGGGUAGCCGGCCUGAGAGGGCGACCGGCCACACUGGGACUGAGACACGGCCCAGACUCCUACGGGAGGCAGCAGUGGGGAAUAUUGCACAAUGGGCGAAAGCCUGAUGCAGCGACGCCACGUGAGGGAUGACGGCCUUCGGGUUGUAAACCUCUUUCAGCAGGGAAGAAGCGAGAGUGACGGUACCUGCAGAAGAAGCGCCGGCUAACUACGUGCCAGCAGCCGCGGUAAUACGUAGGGCGCAAGCGUUGUCCGGAAUUAUUGGGCGUAAAGAGCUCGUAGGCGGUCUGUCGCGUCUGGUGUGAAAUCCCAUGGCUCAACCAUGGGCUUGCAUCGGGUACGGGCAGACUAGAGUGCUGUAGGGGAGACUGGAAUUCCUGGUGUAGCGGUGGAAUGCGCAGAUAUCAGGAGGAACACCGAUGGCGAAGGCAGGUCUCUGGGCAGUUACUGACGCUGAGG
rnacentral:rRNA from 1 species